CACACAUACACACACACGCAUACACACACACGCAUACACACACGCAUACACACACGCAUACACACACACACACACACACACACACACACACACACACACACACACACACACACACACACACACACACACACACACACACACACACACACACACACACACACACACACACACACAUAAUUCACCCAAGCUCUCAUCCCCUCCCAUGCCUCCUGUGUAGCUGUGUGUGUUCUGAAGCUAGCAGAGUUAAAUAACCCUAGUUAGAAGAGUAUUGUUUCUCUACAGGCACCUUACCUUGAGGUCAAGAGGCAGAUGGACAAGCAUGAUCCUUUAGCUCACCCCUUACUGACAUGGGUAAUAUCCAGUAACAGGUCACACAUCGUCAAACUUCCAGUUACCAGACAGCUGAAGUUCAUGCACACCCCACACCAGU